GACGAACGCUGGCGGCGCGCUUAACACAUGCAAGUCGAGCGAAGCGGCGGACGGGUGAGUAACACGUGAGUAACCUGCCUUAGACAUUGGGAUAGCCUCGGGAAACCGGGAUUAAUACCAAAUGGUCUAAGAUGGACUCGCGUCCCAUUAGCUAGUUGGUGGGUAACGGCCCACCAAGGCGACGAUGGGUAGCCGGCCUGAGAGGGGGACCUGCGACAUUGGGACUGAGAUACGGCCCAGACUCUACGGGGGGCAGCAGUUGGGGAUAUUGAACAAUGGCCGAAAGCCUGAUGCAGCGACGCCGCGUGGGGGAUGAAGGCUUUCGGGUUGUAAACCUCUUGCGCUAUGGCUCACUAUAGGGUGGGUUGAGGGUAGGUGGAGAAGAAGCGCCGGCUAACUACGUGCCAGCCGCCGCGGUAAUAC
rnacentral:rRNA from 1 species